AAAACAACACCUUGUGACGGCCCAUAUUUGGAUGGACUUAUUUGUGUGCACAGAGCUGUAGCUUAUCUGCAUGCAAGGGAAUAAACGGGAAUAAAGCGAAAGCUUUUGACGAGAGAGCGAGCUUUGGGUUAUCUUGGUGGGUUAUCUAGCCCUUGUGCUUUAGAAUGGGAUGAAGAAACAAAAUCAAAGCUCAAGCGCUGGAUCAUUCGAUCCAUGGAACUAAAUUGUGGAAGGUCAGUUUGGUGGUACGGCGAGAUAAAAGAAAAGAAAAGAAUAAAAGGUUAUACACGUGUCUGAAAAAAAAAAGAAAAAUUGAAAUCAAUAAAUCGUCGAAAGUAGGGUGCACAUGCCAAGCUGCCCCAAAAAAUUAAGAUCAGUGUGCCGAAAAGCCGAAAAAUCUGUGGUUCUCCAAAGAUAAGCCCCAAACGGGGUCUGAGCUUUGCCAGUCGAUCUCGGUUUCUCCAGUGUAAUUUAAUAUUGACGAAAGUUAUCCAACGGAGGUCAAACUUCUGCCGCACAACGAAAAUUUGCGAUCAACCUUAUUUUUGACCUUGGCAGAGGACAUACAGUUGCCUCUGAAAUUCUAUGUCGUGGCCUGGAUAGGCACAGACAUAUCCAUAUCGGAUGUCUUCAAGGAAAAGGAUUGACACACACACACACACACACUGAAUUCAACCGUAGCUACUAUUGCUAUUAUUAUUAUUUUUUUUUCAUUUAAAUUUUGUACAUUAUAAUCUAAUCUAGGGCACAUCAAUGCAUGCAGGCCUGUUGCAGCGAUGGAAAACCAAACGUAAGCUACCACUAAAAGUAAGAAAAACACCGCUUUGCUUAUAAUUUGAUUUGUUCUUCUAAACUUUUCUCCUCUUUAUAUAUAUAAAAAAACCCCUAAAAUUAAGUUGCUGUAACUGUAGAUAAAUAAGAUGUUAUGAAGAUUUGAGGUGAUGCUGAGGAUGGUUGUUAGUUGGAGUGGAGUUAAAAUAUGAAAAUACACUGAAGAUUGAUCAACAUGAAA